UAAGCAGGUGAAUCAGAUUGCCAUAAGGGCA
rnacentral:piRNA from 1 species